CGAAGCUUAACUUCGGUAAGCCAUGGAAACCGUAGAGCUAGAGUGUGUGAGAGGAUCGUGGAAUUCCAUGUGUAGCGGUGAAAUGCGUAGAUAUAUGGAGGAACACCAGUGGCGAAGGCGGUUAACUGGACUGAAACUGACGCUGAGGCACGAAAGCGUGGGGAGCAAAUAGGAUUAGAUACCCUAGUAGUCCACGCCGUAAACGUUGAGGACCUGAUGCCGGAGUAUUUCGGUGUCGUAGCUAACGCGUUAAGUCCUCCGCCUGGGUACUACGUUCGCAAGAAUAAAACUUAAAGGAAUUGACGGGGGCCCGCACAAGCAGUGGAGCAUGUGGUUUAAUUCGUCGCUACGCGAAAAACCUUACCAGGGUUUGACAUCCCGCUAAAAGUCUUGGAAACAAGAUCAUAGUUAUAGCGGUGAAAGGUGGUGCAUGGUUGUCGUCAGCUCGUGUCGUGAGAUGUUGGGUUAAGUCCCCUAACGAGCGCAACCCUUGUCUCUAUUUGCCAUCAUUAAGUUGGGAACUAUAGAGAGACUGCCGGUGCAAACCGGAGGAAGAUGGGGAUGACGUCAAAUCAUCAUGCCCCUUAUGCCCUGGGCCACACACGUGCUACAAUGGCCGGUACAGAGAGAAGCAAUCCCGUGAGGAGGAGCAAAUCUCACAAAGCCGGUCUCAGUUCGGAUUGGAGUCUGCAACUCGACUCCAUGAAGCUGGAAUUGCUAGUAAUCGCAGAUCAGCAUUGCUGCGGUGAAUACGUUCCCGGGCCUUGUACACACUGCCCGUCACACCAUGAGAGUCGGCAAUACUCGAAGUCGUUAUCUUAACCCGCAAGGGAGGGAGGCGCCUAAGGUAGGGCUGAUGAUUGGGGUUAAGUCGUAACAAGGUAUCCCUACGGGAACGUGGGGAUG
rnacentral:rRNA from 1 species